rnacentral:rRNA from 1 species
AUUGAACGCUGGCGGCAGGCCUAACACAUGCAAGUCGAGCGGAUGAAGGGAGCUUGCUCCUGGAUUCAGCGGCGGACGGGUGAGUAAUGCCUAGGAAUCUGCCUGGUAGUGGGGGAUAACGUCCGGAAACGGGCGCUAAUACCGCAUACGUCCUGAGGGAGAAAGUGGGGGAUCUUCGGACCUCACGCUAUCAGAUGAGCCUAGGUCGGAUUAGCUAGUUGGUGGGGUAAAGGCCUACCAAGGCGACGAUCCGUAACUGGUCUGAGAGGAUGAUCAGUCACUCUUGAACUGAGAACCGGUCCAGACCCCUACGGGAGGCAGGAGGGGGGAAUUUUGGCAAAGGGGCGAAAGCCUGAUCCGGCCAUGCCGGGUGUGGGAAGAAGGUCUUCGGAUUGUAAAGCAUUUUAAGUUGGGGGGAAGGGAAGUAAGUUAAUACCUUGCUGUUUGGACGUUACCAACAGAAUAAGCACCGGCUAACUUCGU